GACGAACGCUGGCGGCGUGCUUAACACAUGCAAGUCGAACGGAAAGGCCCUGCUUUUGUGGGGUGCUCGAGUGGCGAACGGGUGAGUAACACGUGAGUAACCUGCCCUUGACUUUGGGAUAACUUCAGGAAACUGGGGCUAAUACCGGAUAGGAGCUCCUGCUGCAUGGUGGGGGUUGGAAAGUUUCGGCGGUUGGGGAUGGACUCGCGGCUUAUCAGCUUGUUGGUGGGGUAGUGGCUUACCAAGGCUUUGACGGGUAGCCGGCCUGAGAGGGUGACCGGCCACAUUGGGACUGAGGUACGGCCCAGACUCCUACGGGAGGCAGCAGUGGGGAAUAUUGCACAAUGGGCGGAGGCCUGAUGCAGCAACGCCGCGUGCGGGAUGACGGCCUUCGGGUUGUAAACCGCUUUCGCCUGUGACGAAGCGUGAGUGACGGUAAUGGGUAAAGAAGCACCGGCGAACUACGU
rnacentral:rRNA from 1 species